GACAGAGGAGGCAAGCGUUAUCCGGAAUUAUUGGGCGUAAAGCGUCCGUAGGUGGUUUGGCAAGUCUGGGGUUAAAGCCCGGAGCCUAACUCCGGAUCGGCCCUGGAAACUGCCAGACUAGAGUAAGGUUGGGGUUGCUGGAAUUCCCGGUGUAGCGGUGAAAUGCGUAGAUAUCGGGAAGAACACCAGUGGCAAAAGCGCGCAACUGGGCCAUUACUGACCCUGAGGGACGAAAGCUAGGGGAGCGAAUGGG
rnacentral:rRNA from 1 species